UUUAGCAGAACAUCCUCUCUCCUGUGUCUGCUCCAGUGAAAGGUUCCUUCGAGAGUGUGCCUUAGCCUUUCACCUGUGUGAAACGUUCCUUCACCUGUCGGCCUUCGUAAAACACCAUCCAAACAACUUUCCACUUUAUCCGUUCCCUGAGAUGACAUCUUCUCCUGAGGGCUGUUGCUCUAUCAUCUCACUUCUCCAUGAUUUCUCCUCAAGUUGCCUUCGCCAGCUUCCCCCAGCUGUCCUCAGUAGAGUGUUGGUCUUUACUGUCUGUCUGUCCUUAACACAUACCGCUCAGCUACAGUUCUCUGAGGCAAACACAAAGGCUGUGUAGUGCAGGGCUUUGACUCGCAGAGAGGAGGCCAGAUGAUAGAGGAAGGUGACCUUGCUGACUCCACCACAGUACCAGCCUUGCUGGGGAAGGACAGUGGAGCCAGGGUUAGUGCAGCUGAAUGGACCCUGGCUGUGAGCUUGGACUUACACGGACUCCUGCGGUGAAGAAUAGAGACUGUCCAGCGGAUCAUACCCUGGCCUGCCACAGCAGGUUUCUCGGGCACCAAGAGACCCCUUUAAACCAAAUUUCUGAGUGUCACAGCUGUGGGGGAGGGAGCGCAGAGGUCAGGCACGCUGUACAAAAGGCGGAGAGAGGGACCUGGCAAGUGUACAGAAGCAAAUGCCAAACAGAGGCCAGUGGUUGAGGAGAGGAAGUAGGAGACACUGAGAGGUGCUGGAAGAGCGAACCAGGGAAGCAGAGGGCAGAGAACCAGCAUAACCUCAUGAUCUUACCCAGCAAUGGAAUCCACCAUGGGAGCCCCGUUCCUUCUGAGGACCGUCUUCACUCUCUCAGUUAGCUUAUACUACCUGAGUGCUUCCUGUGAGGAGCAGCCUUGGCACCUCCUCCUCCUCCUCCUCCUUCCUUUCUACCUCCCAGGCGGGGCAACCUGGGCCUCACACCUCUCCCUCUGCUGUGUCUAAGGAUGGAUUCCACCAAGAUAGAAACGACCGUGCUGGCACAUAGCAAGUCCUCUGCAGCCAUCAGGAAAGCAGAGGAAUGAGCGGUCAGUCCUCUCUCGUGAACUGAGGGCCAGACAUUGAGCAAUGGGACGUGGAGAGGGUCAGGGCUCCCUGAUCUCUGGCGGAGUCCAGGCAAGGGCUUCUGUGCCCAUCCUCAGAACCGCCUGGCAAGCGGGAAGGCGCCCAGGGGUCCUCAGACAUCAUAGCUCAUUGCUCUGUUCCCAUAAAAUCACUUAAGUGGCAA
rnacentral:sRNA from 1 species